rnacentral:rRNA from 1 species
GAUGCUAAUACCGGAUAACAACAGAUGAUGCCUAUCAACUGUUUAAAAAGAAUGGUUCUGCUAUCACUCUUGGAUGGACCUGCGGUGCAUUAGCUAGUUGGUAGGGUAACGGCCUACCAAGGCGAUGAUGCAUAGCCGAGUUGAGAGACUGAUCGGCCACAUUGGGACUGAGACACGGCCCAAACUCCUACGGGAGGCAGCAG